rnacentral:rRNA from 1 species
AUUGAACGCUGGCGGCAUGCUUUACACAUGCAAGUCGAACGGCAGCGCGGGCUUCGGCCUGGCGGCGAGUGGCGAACGGGUGAGUAAUGCAUCGGAACGUGCCCAGUAGUUGGGGAUAGCCCGGCGAAAGCCGGAUUAAUACCGCAUACGACCUGAGGGUGAAAGCGGGGGACCGAAAGGCCUCGCGCGAUUUGAUCGGCCGAUGUCGGAUUAGCUAGUUGGUUGGGUAAAGGCUUACCAAGGCGACGAUCCGUAGCUGGUCUGAGAGGACGACCAGCCACACUGGGACUGAGACACGGCCCAGACUCCUACGGGAGGCAGCAGUGGGGAAUUUUGGACAAUGGGGGCAACCCUGAUCCAGCCAUGCCGCGUGAGGGAAGAAGGCCUUCGGGUUGUAAACCGCUUUUGUUCGGGAAGAAAACCUCUGGGCUAAUACCCCGGGGGGAUGACGGUACCGGAAGAAUAAGCACCGGCUAACUACGUG